rnacentral:rRNA from 1 species
GGCGAACGGGUGAGUAACACGUGAGUAACCUGCCCUUGACUUUGGGAUAACUUCAGGAAACUGGGGCUAAUACCGGAUAGGAGCUCCUGCUGCAUGGUGGGGGUUGGAAAGUUUCGGCGGUUGGGGAUGGACUCGCAGCUUAUCAGCUUGUUGGUGGGGUAGUGGCUUACCAAGGCUUUGACGGGUAGCCGGCCUGAGAGGGUGACCGGCCACAGUGGGACUGAGAUACGGCCCAG